rnacentral:other from 1 species
GUUACAAUUAACAAGAANAGAAUCCCUAUUAGGGAUUGAAAC